UACGUAGGGGCAAGCGUUGUCCGGAUUUAUUGGGCGUAAAGAGCGUGUAGGCGGCCAGGUAGGUCAGCUGUGAAAACUCGAGGCUCAACCUCGAGAUGUCGGCUGAAACCAUCUGGCUAGAGUCCGGAAGAGGAGAAUGGAAUUCCCGGUGUAGCGGUGAAAUGCGCAGAUAUCGGGAAGAACACCCGUGGCGAAGGCGGUUCUCUGGGACGGUACUGACGCUGAGACGCGAAAGCGUGGGGAGCGAACAGG
rnacentral:rRNA from 1 species